UGGUGAUCCGGUGCAACCUGGAUUUACCAUUCUAAAGGUGGAUAUCUUCUUCCUCACUUCAAUGACCUAAGUGCUAAAGCACUAAAGAGAAGUCUUUCGCCGCCUCAGAGGAGAACACCCAGGAGACCUCAGUCUAGCGACGAUCGGAGAGAGGAUUCUUCGCUGGAGGGAGGAGCAGCUACCGCCAGGUUGCUAUUUAGGAUGUCUUCACAAGCAGACGAAGGGGAUGGGUCCAAAACUGGGGUAGAAAGUGCGGCAUGGUCGGACAUGGAAGAGUAGAUGCUUAUAAGGUUGAUGGUAGAUAUGGUAAGGGCCAAUAACAGGCCCACAGGUACAUUCAACACAGAUGGGUUGGAAUUACAUCAGGACCAAAUUUAAUGAGAUUCAUAGGAAGUCCUACCAUCUUCAUCAAUUCAAAAACAAGUUCCAUGCAUUUAAGAAGAGACGAUCGGAAUAUCUAUCUCUUAUUAACCACACUGGCUUCGCAAUGGAUCCACUGACGAUGAUGCCCACGGCCAAUGAAGAAGUGUGGGAUGAGUUCUGUAAAAGUAAUAGAUGGGCUAAGAAGUAUUGAACGAAGGUUUAUUAUCACUGGGAUGACUUGCAUUAUAUCUUUGAGGGGACACAUGCAACCGGUGAACACAGAUAUAGUAAUGCUGAAGACUCAGACACUGUGAUUGAGCAAUCACAACGUGUGAUUGUAGAUGAGCAUGGCACACCGUAUACAGGUGUGAUUGUAGAUGAGCAUGGCACACCGUAUACGUGUGAUUGUAGAUGAGCAUGGCACACCGUUGGCGACGAUGAGCAUGGCACACCGUAUACAGGUAAAUCUGAAGCUAGUCCGGACAUUGUAGAUGCUGGCGGAAAUGCCACAACUCCACAAGGGGGAGACAAGCACAAAAGAGUUGGCAACCCCCCUUCAUCUAUGAAGAAAGGAAAGAAGAUUUAUUUGCCUCCGUCUUGAGAAAGCCCUUGGUACUUGGGCAGAGGCUAGUAAGCUAAAGUAUGAGAUGCAGAGGAGCGCAUGGAGAGGGAACACAUGGAGAUGGAACGCAUGGAGGCACGUGAGGACAUUGGAACCUUGGAGACAUGCAUACAGAUGCUUAAUGACGUGUUCCGGGUCCACGUCUUAUCCCCUGCUUGCUUUGUCAAGGCAACAAAGUUGUUUCAAGAGGACCACUGGACGCGGACAUUCAUUGCAAUGGAUCCAAAUUUGAGAGCUACUUGGCUUAAUGCCUUGGCUGAUGAUGAGAGCCGAGAAAUGAGUUGCUUUGAUUAGCUUUAUUAGUUCACAUGUCUUUGUUUGUUGUUUUAAGAUGAAAAAACUUCGUAUUGUCAUAUUACUUGGAUUGUGAUGCCAUCUUUGUUUUUUUUUAGUGGUUUUGAUGAACUUUUAUUACAUGGAAUGCUUGAUGCAUUAUGGAUUGCUUUUUUUGGUAGUAAUAUAUUGCUUUGAUUCAUGAUUUGCUUCA